rnacentral:rRNA from 1 species
CCUACGGGGGGCAGCAGUGGGGAAUAUUGGACAAUGGGGGGAACCCUGAUCCAGCCAUGCCGCGUGUGUGAAGAAGGCCCUCGGGUUGUAAAGCACUUUCAGUGAGGAAGAACGCCUGGUGGUUAAUACCCAUCAGGAAAGACAUCACUCACAGAAGAAGCACCGGCUAACUCCGUGCCAGCAGCCGCGGUAAUACGGAGGGUGCGAGCGUUAAUCGGAAUUACUGGGCGUAAAGCGCGCGUAGGUGGCUUGAUAAGCCGGCUGUGAAAGCCCCGGGCUCAACCUGGGAACGGCAUCCGGAACUGUCAAGCUAGAGUGCAGGAGAGGAAGGUAGAAUUCCCGGUGUAGCGGUGAAAUGCGUAGAGAUCGGGAGGAAUACCAGUGGCGAAGGCGGCCUUCUGGACUGACACUGACACUGAGGUGCGAGAGCGUGGGUAGAAAACAGGAUUAGAUACCCUAGCAGUC